GCUUCGGUAACUCAGUGGUAGAGUGUGGGAUUGCAGAUCCUAAAGUCGCUGGUUCGAACCCGGCUCGAAGCU
rfam:Hirsutella minnesotensis 3608 unplaced genomic scaffold MNSD_Scf_28, whole genome shotgun sequence.